GAUGAACGCUGGCGGCGUGCCUAAUACAUGCAAGUCGAGCGAACAGAUAAGGAGCUUGCUCCUUUGACGUUAGCGGCGGACGGGUGAGUAACACGUGGGUAACCUACCUAUAAGACUGGGAUAACUUCGGGAAACCGGAGCUAAUACCGGAUAACAUUUGGAACCGCAUGGUUCUAAAGUGAAAGAUGGUUUUGCUAUCACUUAUAGAUGGACCCGCGCCGUAUUAGCUAGUUGGUAAGGUAACGGCUUACCAAGGCGACGAUACGUAGCCGACCUGAGAGGGUGAUCGGCCACACUGGAACUGAGACACGGUCCAGACUCCUACGGGAGGCAGCAGUAGGGAAUCUUCCGCAAUGGGCGAAAGCCAGACGGAGCAACGCCGCGUGAGUGAUGAAGGGUUUCGGCUCGUAAAACUCUGUUAUUAGGGAAGAACAAACGUGUAAGUAACUGUGCACGUCUUGACGGUACCUAAUCAGAAAGCCACGGCUAACUACGUG
rnacentral:rRNA from 1 species